UGCGUAGGUGGACUAAUAAGUCAGUGGUGAAAGCCUGCAGCUUAACUGUAGAAUUGCCAUUGAAACUGUUCGUCUCGAGUAUGGUUGAGGUUACUGGAAUAUAUCAUGUAGCGGUGAAAUGCUUGGAUAUGAUAUAGAACACCAAUUGCGAAGGCAGGUAACUAAGCCAUAACUGACACUGAGGCACGAAAGCGUGGGGAUCAAACA
rnacentral:rRNA from 1 species